AUUUCCAAGACCAGGUUCACCUGCACAUGGUGAGAGAUUGGAACAAGAUGAUCUUGUAGGUCCCUUCCAACCCAAAGUAUUCUAUGUUUCUAUGAUCCUGUGAUUCUAUAUUCCAUGCCAUGUGACCUCUCGCUCAACAAUGAACUAGAGAGAAGGUUACUGGUGUGGGGGGCUCACUGCUCGAUGACUUUCUCAGCAUUGGUUGGUUGGUGGGGAGAAAUUGUUUUCAUUUCUACCACUUGUUUUUUUUAACUUUUAUUUCACUCUGUUAUUUUCUCUUUCAUUACAAAUUAUUGUUGUUGUUGUUGAUCUGGAUGCACCAAUGAGUUAGGAAAACAGAGGCAAUAAGGGCAAUAAAGAAAAAAAUUCAGGGUUUUUAACUUUUGCUUAAUAGUAAUGUCAGACUGUUUGCUGGGUAUAUGCUCACACAUGGAGAAAUUGUUGUGUAACAUUUUUUCUUGUGCGCACAAUAACAACUAAUGUUAGAGUCUGAUCAAAAUUUUUAUUUUGCACCAGUGGUUCUGGAUAACUACCCAUAAGUGAUCUAUAAUUAUGUCUCAACUUAUCUUUUCAAUUUCAGUCUAUCAGAAAAGAUUCACUGCCUGGGAAAGGUGACAAAAUUGAGACGCCCUCAACAUAUAGUCACAGGGGAACAGAAAGAGGAGGAAUUCUGCCAGCAGCCUUGCUGAUGAAAUUGAGAAAGGAGCCAAGCUGAGAGGAAAGGGAGCCAGUCUCUAGAGAUGGUUACCCCAAAUGGAUUAUAAAAGCUCUUUAUUUCAGGGGCAGUGAGCAAGUGACUCUGUGGUGUUUGGCUGCUGGCUGGGGCUGAACCAAGACAUCCCUCUGGCUUUAUAAAAAAGAGAAAAAGCACAGGAUCUUAUGUCUCCCAUUCCUGGUCUGCUGCAAUAACCAACAUGGUACAAAUGCAUGUGGUCAAAGGUUUCCUGUUUCCUAAUAAAUCCUGAACUGCAUGAUGAAGGAUGAAUGCUUCAUCACAGGUUUUAUGAGCCUCAUACCUCAGGUCAAGAAUCCCAUGGCCUGGUGAUCUGGGGAUUGCUGUGGAAGUACAGCUAAGAAUCAAGCUUAAGAUUGAGAGGUACAAGGUCUUUUCUUUUCUCAUCAAACAAAAUCUGGAAUAUCCUUUUUCUGAAAAAGGCAAUGAAAAUUCCUGCAGACCCAUAUGAUUCCAGAAAUUGGAGUCCCAGCAAAAGAAUUGCCACUGGCUUGUGUUAAUUAAUGACUUUUAGUGA